rnacentral:rRNA from 1 species
UGGGACUGAGACACGGCCCAGAUUCUUAGGGAGGCAGCAGUGGGGAAUAUUGGACAAUGGGGGAACCCUGAUCCAGCCAUGCCGCGUGUGUGAAGAAGGCCUUUUGGUUGUAAAGCACUUUAAGCGAGGAGGAGGCGCUCUAGGAUAAUACCCUAGAUGCGUGGACGUUACUCGCAGAAUAAGCACCGGCUAACUCUGUGCCAGCAGCCGCGGUAAUACAGAGGGUGCGAGCGUUAAUCGGAUUUACUGGGCGUAAAGCGCGCGUAGGUGGCUAAUUAAGUCAAAUGUGAAAUCCCCGAGCUUAACUUGGGAAUUGCAUUCGAUACUGGUUAGCUAGAGUAUGGGAGAGGAUGGUAGAAUUCCAGGUGUAGCGGUGAAAUGCGUAGAGAUCUGGAGGAAUACCGAUGGCGAAGGCAGCCAUCUGGCCUAAUACUGACACUGAGGUGCGAAAGCAUGGGGAGCAAACAGGAUUAGAUACCCUGGUAGUCCAUGCCGUAAACGAUGUCUACUAGCCGUUGGGGCCUUUGAGGCUUUAGUGGCGCAGCUAACGCGAUAAGUAGACCGCCUGGGGAGUACGGUCGCAAGACUAAAACUCAAAUGAAUUGACGGGGGCCCGCACAAGCGGUGGAGCAUGUGGUUUAAUUCGAUGCAACGCGAAGAACCUUACCUGGCCUUGACAUACAGAGAACUUUCCAGAGAUGGAUUGGUGCCUUCGGGAACUCUGAUACAGGUGCUGCAUGGCUGUCGUCAGCUCGUGUCGUGAGAUGUUGGGUUAAGUCCCGCAACGAGCGCAACCCUUUUCCUUACUUGCCAGCAUUUCGGAUGGGAACUUUAAGGAUACUGCCAGUGACAAACUGGAGGAAGGCGGGGACGACGUCAAGUCAUCAUGGCCCUUACGGCCAGGGCUACACACGUGCUACAAUGGUCGGUACAAAGGGUUGCUACACAGCGAUGUGAUGCUAAUCUCAAAAAGCCGAUCGUAGUCCGGAUUGGAGUCUGCAACUCGACUCCAUGAAGUCGGAAUCGCUAGUAAUCGCGGAUCAGAAUGCCGCGGU